CCUACGGGAGGCAGCAGUGAGGAAUAUUGGUCAAUGGCCGAGAGGCUGAACCAGCCAAGUCGCGUGAGGGAAGACGGCCCUACGGGUUGUAAACCUCUUUUGUCGGGGAGCAAAGCCAGUCACGUGUGACUCAUUGAGAGUACCCGAAGAAAAAGCAUCGGCUAACUCCGUGCCAGCAGCCGCGGUAAUACGGAGGAUUCGAGCGUUAUCCGGAUUUAUUGGGUUUAAGGGGUGCGCAGGCGGAGGAGCAAGUCAGCGGUAAAAUUGCGGGGCUCAACCCCGUACUGCCGUUGAAACUGCAUCCCUUGAGUGCGCGAGAAGUAUGCGGAAUGCGUGGUGUAGCGGUGAAAUGCAUAGAGAUCACACAGAACUCCGAUUGCGAAGGCAGCAUACCGGCGCGCAACUGACGCUCAUGCACGAAAGCGUGGGUAUCGAACAGGAUUAGAUACCCCAGUAGUC
rnacentral:rRNA from 1 species